AGUGAACGCUGGCGGUAGGCCUAACACAUGCAAGUCGAACGGCAGCACAGUAAGAGCUUGCUCUUACGGGUGGCGAGUGGCGGACGGGUGAGGAAUACAUCGGAAUCUACUUUUUCGUGGGGGAUAACGUAGGGAAACUUACGCUAAUACCGCAUACGACCUACGGGUGAAAGCAGGGGAUCUUCGGACCUUGCGCGAUUGAAUGAGCCGAUGUCGGAUUAGCUAGUUGGCGGGGUAAAGGCCCACCAAGGCGACGAUCCGUAGCUGGUCUGAGAGGAUGAUCAGCCACACUGGAACUGAGACACGGUCCAGACUCCUACGGGAGGCAGCAGUAGGGAAUAUUGGACAAUGGGCGCAAGCCCGAUCCAGCCAUACCGCGUGGGUGAAGAAGGCCUUCGGGUUGUAAAGCCCUUUUGUUGGGAAAGAAAAGCAGCAGGUUAAUACCCCGCUGUUCUGACGGUACCCAAAGAAUAAGCACCGGCUAACUUCGUG
rnacentral:rRNA from 1 species